GCUUGUCUCAAAGAUUAAGCCAUGCAUGUCUAAGUAUAAAUGUUAUACAGUGAAACUGCGAAUGGCUCAUUAAAACAGUUAUAGUUUAUUUGAUAAUCGAAUUUUACAUGGAUAACCGUGGUAAUUCUAGAGCUAAUACAUGCUGUUUAGCCUGACUUCUAGGAAGGGCUGUAUUUAUUAGAUAACAAACCAAUAUUCCUCGUGUCUAUUGUGAUGACUCAUAAUAACUGAUCGAAUCGCAUGGGCUUUGCCCGCGAUACAUCAUUCAAGUUUCUGCCCCAUCAGCUUUCGAUGGUAGUGUAUUGGACUACCAUGGCAGUAACGGGUAACGAAGAAUUAGGGUUCGAUUUCGGAGAGGGAGCAUGAGAAACGGCUACCACAUCUAAGGAAGGCAGCAGG
rnacentral:rRNA from 1 species